ensembl:rRNA n-R5s211 nuclear encoded rRNA 5S 211
GUCUAUGGCCAUACCACCCUGAAUGCACCCGAUCUCAUCUGAUCUCUGAAGCUAAGCAGGGUCGGGCCUGGUUAGGACUUGGAUGGGAGACCGCCUGGGAAUACCAAGUGCUGUAGGCU